rnacentral:rRNA from 1 species
AUUGAACGCUGGCGGCAUGCCUUACACAUGCAAGUCGAACGGUAACAGGUCUUCGGAUGCUGACGAGUGGCGAACGGGUGAGAAAUACAUCGGAACGUGCCUAGUAGUGGGGGAUAACUACUCGAAAGAGUGGCUAAUACCGCAUGAGAUCUACGGAUGAAAGCAGGGGAUCGCAAGACCUUGUGCUACUAGAUCGGCAGAUGGCAGAUUAGGUAGUUGGUGGGAUAAAGGCUUACCAAGCCGCCGAUCUGUAGCUGGUCUGAGAGGACGAUCAGCCACACUGGGACUGAGAAACGGCCCAGACUCCUACGGGAGGCAGCAGUGGGGAAUUUUGGACAAUGGGCGCAAGCCUGAUCCAGCAACACCGCGUGCAGGAUGAAGGCCUUCGGGUUGUAAACUGCUUUUGUACGGAACGAAAAGCCCCGGGUUAAUACCCUGGGGUCAUGACGGUACCGUAAGAAUAAGCACCGGCUAACUACGUGCCAGCAGCCGCAGUAA